ACGAACGCUGGCGGCAUGCCUAACACAUGCAAGUCGAACGCGACCUUCGGGUCUAGUGGCGCACGGGUGCGUAACGCGUGGGAACCUGCCCUUAGGUUCGGAAUAACUCCCCGAAAGGGGUGCUAAUACCGGAUAAUGUCUUCGGACCAAAGAUUUAUCGCCUUUGGGUGGGCCCGCGUUGGAUUAGCUAGUUGGUAGGGUAAAAGCCUACCAAGGCGACGAUCCAUAGCUGGUCUGAGAGGAUGAUCAGCCACACUGGGACUGAGACACGGCCCAGACUCCUACGGGAGGCAGCAGUGGGGAAUAUUGGACAAUGGGCGAAAGCCUGAUCCAGCAAUGCCGCGUGAGUGAUGAAGGCCUUAGGGUUGUAAAGCUCUUUUACCCGGGAUGAUAAUGACAGUACCGGGAGAAUAAGCUCCGGCUAACUCCGUG
rnacentral:rRNA from 1 species